UACGUAGGGUGCGAGCGUUGUCCGGAAUUAUUGGGCGUAAAGGGCGUCGUAGGCGGUCUGUCGCGUCGGGAGUGAAAACUCAGGGCUUAACCCUGAGCCUGCUUCCGAUACGGGCAGACUAGAGGUAUGCAGGGGAGAACGGAAUUCCUGGUGUAGCGGUGGAAUGCGCAGAUAUCAGGAGGAACACCGGUGGCGAAGGCGGUUCUCUGGGCAUUACCUGACGCUGAGGAGCGAAAGUGUGGGGAGCGAACAGG
rnacentral:rRNA from 1 species